rnacentral:rRNA from 1 species
GAUGAACGCUGACAGAAUGCUUAACACAUGCAAGUCGACUUGAAUUUGGGUUUUUAACUUAGGUUUGGGUGGCGGACGGGUGAGUAACGCGUAAAGAACUUGCCUCACAGCUAGGGACAACAUUUGGAAACGAAUGCUAAUACCUAAUAUUAUGAUAAUAGGUCAUCCUAUAAUUAUGAAAGCUAUAAGCGCUGUGAGAGAGCUUUGCGUCCCAUUAGCUAGUUGGAGAGGUAACGGCUCACCAAGGCGAUGAUGGGUAGCCGGCCUGAGAGGGUGAUCGGCCACAAGGGGACUGAGACACGGCCCUUACGCCUACGGGAGGAAGCAGUGGGGAAUAUGGGACAAUGGACCGAGAGUCUGAUCCAGCAAUUCUGUGUGCAAGAUGAAGUUUUUCGGAAUGUAAAGUGCUUUCAGUUGGGAAGAAACAAAUGACGGUACCAACAGAAGAAGUGACGGCUAAAUACGUG